rnacentral:rRNA from 1 species
CCUACGGGAUGCAGCAGUGAGGAAUAUUGGUCAAUGGGCGGGAGCCUGAACCAGCCAAGCCGCGUGAGGGAAGAAGGUACAGCGUAUCGUAAACCUCUUUUGUCAGGGAACAAAGGCGGGGACUAGUCCCCGGAUGAGGGUACCUGAAGAAAAAGCAUCGGCUAACUCCGUGCCAGCAGCCGCGGUAAUACGGAGGAUGCGAGCGUUAUCCGGAUUUACUGGGUGUAAAGGGGGCGCAGACGGCAGCGCAAGCCAGGAGUGAAAGCCCGGGGCCCAACCCCGGGACUGCCCGUGGAACUGCGCGGCUGGAGUGCAGGAGGGGCAGGUGGAAUUCCUGGUGUAGCGGUGAAAUGCGUAGAUAUCAGGAGGAACACCGGUGGCGAAGGCGGCCUGCUGGACUGCGACUGACGUUGAGGCCCGAAAGCGUGGGGAGCAAACAGGAUUAGAUACCCGGGUAGUC